rnacentral:lncRNA from 1 species
UUAUUUAAUGCUACGGCCACAAAAUAACAAUUUUACUUGCCAAGUUUUUGACUUUGGGGUGCAUAUGCAUGUGUGUUUUUGAAGUCCAUUUUGUCCGUGCACGGUGAGAAUCUAGUGCCUCCAACCUCCCAUGAUUAAUUUGCUUUCUUCAAUUGUUAUAGCAUAUCAAUGGAAGCAGAUGCUGAAAACGAUUGAUGUCGAAUUUGGCAUCCCCGAUGAUAUAUAUCCAUUUUGAUGAGUAUAUGGGAAUCCAAUAUCCAAAAAGCAGAAAUGAAUUAAUUCUAUGGUCACGAUGCUUAAUUGGAAGCUUUAUUUUUUUACUAAAGAAUAGAAGCACAAACAUUAAUUAAUACAUUCCUGGAAACAUUCACUUCUACAGGGCUAGACGUCAAACAAGAUGAUAUGUCAAUUCAGCAAAGCCCCUUACAAAUUGUGAAAUCCAAUACUAGACUCCAUAGAAAGUAGAUAAAUUCUGAAGCAAACUCACUUUGGCUUCAAGAAGAAAGAUACAGUCAGCAGUCCUUUGAAACAAGGUUUCCAUGUUAAUCUCAGGACAAACAGCUGGAAGCAUCCUCUGGAGCUCCUGAAGUUUGCUUUCUAUGGAUGUUCUUACAGAAGCAGCAGCAGUAGUGUCAUUACCGAAAGAUAGACUUUGCCUUCGGAUCCUCCUUCCUCUCAUAACCAAAACCUUUCUUCUGCAUCGGGGAGAAUGCUUUGAUGAUCUCAUGAUUCUCACACGCACGUGUACAAGACACAAUUAAACAGAAAGAGAUGGCAGCUGCUAGAGAGUGGAAAGAAGGGAGAUGGGUUAUCAAAUUUUGAGGGUGGACGUUCAUUUAUACUGAUAAGGGAAAUGUUUAAGAAAAA